rnacentral:rRNA from 1 species
CCUACGGGUGGCAGCAGUGGGGGAUAUUGCACAAUGGGGGGAACCCUGAUGCAGCGACGCCGCGUGGGUGAAGGAGCGUUUCGGCGCGUAAAGCCCUAUCGGCAGGGAAGAAGGAGGACGGUACCUGACUAAGAAGCCCCGGCUAACUACGUGCCAGCAGCCGCGGUAAUACGUAGGGGGCAAGCGUUAUCCGGAUUUACUGGGUGUAAAGGGGGCGCAGACGGCUGGGCAAGUCUGAAGUGAAAGCCCAGGGCCCAACCCUGGGACUGCUUUGGAAACUGUGGGGCUAGAGUGCUGGAGAGGUAAGUGGAAUUCCUAGUGUAGCGGUGAAAUGCGUAGAUAUUAGGAGGAACACCAGUGGCGAAGGCGGCUUACUGGACAGUAACUGACGUUGAGGCUCGAAAGCGUGGGGAGCAAACAGGAUUAGAUACCCCAGUAGUC